UACGUAGGGUGCAAGCGUUGUCCGGAAUUAUUGGGCGUAAAGAGCUCGUAGGCGGUCUGUUGCGUCGGCUGUGAAAACCCGAGGCUCAACCUCGGGCCUGCAGCCGAUACGGGCAGACUAGAGUUCGGCAGGGGAGACUGGAAUUCCUGGUGUAGCGGUGAAAUGCGCAGAUAUCAGGAGGAACACCGGCGGCGAAGGCGGCUCACUGG
rnacentral:rRNA from 1 species